rnacentral:misc_RNA from 1 species
CCUGCAAUGAAUUUUCAUUUUAAAUUGCUCGAUUCUUGUUAAGAUUCUUAGGCUCUGCCCCUAGGCUCAUAUGAUGUUGGAUUGAUAAAAUAGUAGGCAUCUGGUGGAAUCCCAUUUUCAUCCAGAAAUGCCUCAACUCUAUGAACAUUUUCACCAAUAUCGUCCACUAUCUCUAUUUCAGAAUCUUCGUUUGCAAUUUCAAAAUGAGACUUGGCU